rnacentral:tRNA from 1 species
GCCUGGGUGGCUCAGUCCGUCAAGCGUCUGACUUCGGUUCAGGUCAUGAUCUCAACGUUCGUGGGUUCAAGCCCCACGUUGGGCU